rnacentral:rRNA from 1 species
GCUCAGAACUUAAAGGAAUUGACGGGGGCCCGCACAAGCGGUGGAGCAUGUGGUUUAAUUCGAUGAUACGCGACGGAACCUUACCUGGGCUCAAAUGUAUGUUGACGUAUUCUGAAAGGGAUACUUCUUCGGACAAUAUACAAGGUGCUGCAUGGUUGUCGUCAGCUCGUGCCGUGAGGUGUCGGGUUAAGUCCCAUAACGAGCGCAACCCCUAUCAUUAGUUGCCAUCAGGUCAAGCUGGGGACUCUAAUGAAACUGCCUACGCAAGUAGUGAGGAAGGUGGGGAUGACGUCAAAUCAGCACGGCCCUUACGUCCAGGGCGACACACGUGCUACAAUGGCCGGCACAGCGGGAAGCGAGGCAGUGAUGCCAAGCGGAUCCCUUAAAGCCGGUCUCAGUUCGGAUUGAAGUCUGCAACUCGACUUCAUGAAGCUGGAAUCGCUAGUAAUCGCAGAUCAGCCAAGCUGCGGUGAAUACGUUCCCGGGCCUU